CUCCGAGGAGGCUUUCAAUGACUUCAUUCAAGUGCAGGCUGGAGCAAAUGGGAUAUUCAGCAUACCAGCUGUACUACUUUAGUGAUUUGUGUCCUGACUUAGGGGUGCAGCACGAGCAUUGGUGCUCUGGACGCUCAACUGCAUAUAUCUGUGUCACAUUUCAUGGCUGUGAAAGCUUCUCCCGGACCAGCUGGUCUUACUUCUGGAGUCUCUCUUGGAGGAGAAGACUUUAUGUCCUAGAACACUGCAAUGCUUAGAGGAAACGUACAAGCUCCAUGAGCAGGAUGCAGAGGUAAAUCACUAAAAAGAAUCACCCCAAAAUGAGUAAUUGUGUUGUCGACUAGGAGUAAUAGUAUUGCACUAGGAUCCAGACUCAUUUGAAUCCCUUUUUCCUUGUCUAAAACUAAAACUGCAUAUACUUAAUUUCAGUAUUGUUGCAUCUUCAGAUGCCUUAGUUACUCAAUAUUUCUGCCUGCCUGCCUGCCUGCCUGCCUGCCUGCAUCUAUGUGUGUACAUGUGUGCACGUGUGCGUGUGUGUGUGUGUUGUGUAGGUCCAGAUGUGUUUGCAUGCUAUAGGGAGACAAUGCAGCAUAGAUUUUAUAUAUAAUUUUACAUAUACCUUAAGCAGCACAUUCAUUCAAGUGUUAAACUUCUCACUGUGGAAUGCUGACUCUAUAUUUAGAACUCAAUUCAUUUUAGUUAUGUGUAUUGCCUCCAAAUGCAACCAAGUGUCUGUUUUGGUCUAAAAUUCUUCUACAUGGUCAGCCCCUAUUGUUUCUCUUUAGAGAGCUCCAAAGUCUUAUUCAGGAUUUAGAAAAGUCUGCCUUCCACAGAGAGUACAGUAUGUUCUGCUUUUGGGCACGAGUUUCAAGAAGGAAUCAGUUCUUUACAAUUGCAGCUAGUAAGUGCCAGAAAGGUUAACAGUCACGUAGGAAAAUACAGUUUUAUAUGAUACUGUAUAUGUGGCUUCCCCAACACAGAUGUCUAUGAGACUAGCAUCCCUGUUCCAAAGGGUUUAAUGUCUUAAGGGGCCAAAGCAGUAAAUCCUUAUUACCACACACAGUGCUGGCUAUUUGAUAGGGUCGCAUGGAUUUCUCACGCUGGAAGAAUUGUGAUAAUUAAGGCAGCAGAACUUAUGGUUGUAGGCACCCUUGCAAUGAGUAAGGGUUUGCUUCAAGUAGAUAGUAUUCAGGAGACGAGAUGAGAAGAUGAAAUCAGUAAUGAAAAUAGAGGAUGUGUAGAUGUAUAAAUAAAAAGGCUAGUUAUGAAGGAGCA
rnacentral:lncRNA from 1 species